rnacentral:tRNA from 1 species
AAGUUUAGGUUAGACAAACCCGGGGCCUUCAAAGCCCCAAACAGGGAGUGCCGCCCCCUAAC